rnacentral:rRNA from 1 species
AUUCAGCGGCGGACGGGUGAGUAAUGCCUAGGAAUCUGCCUGGUAGUGGGGGACAACGUCUCGAAAGGGACGCUAAUACCGCAUACGUCCUACGGGAGAAAGCAGGGGACCUUCGGGCCUUGCGCUAUCAGAUGAGCCUAGGUCGGAUUAGCUAGUUGGUGAGGUAAUGGCUCACCAAGGCGACGAUCCGUAACUGGUCUGAGAGGAUGAUCAGUCACACUGGAACUGAGACACGGUCCAGACUCCUACGGGAGGCAGCAGUGGGGAAUAUUGGACAAUGGGCGAAAGCCUGAUCCAGCCAUGCCGCGUGUGUGAAGAAGGUCUUCGGAUUGUAAAGCACUUUAAGUUGGGAGGAAGGGCAGUAGAUUAAUACUCUGCAAUUUUGACGUUACCGACAGAAUAAGCACCGGCUAACUCUGUGCCAGCAGCCGCGGUAAUACAGAGGGUGCAAGCGUUAAUCGGAAUUACUGGGCGUAAAGCGCGCGUAGGUGGUUUGUUAAGUUGGAUGUGAAAGCCCCGGGCUCAACCUGGGAACUGCAUUCAAAACUGACAAGCUAGAGUAUGGUAGAGGGUGGUGGAAUUUCCUGUGUAGCGGUGAAAUGCGUAGAUAUAGGAAGGAACACCAGUGGCGAAGGCGACCACCUGGACUGAUACUGACA